AGAGUAAGAAAGUGAAUAUCUUGUGCAGCAUUUCAUUAGGAGAGUGGCGAGUCUGCAGUUUUUGUCAAGAAAUGUUUUUGAACGCUGAGUGAUGGACUGCAGUUUAAGUGCUUUUUUUUUUACUUGCAUCUCAAGCUGUACUGGAACUUCAGCUGUUGUCAUUGUUCAUCAGUCUGGAUUGAGGGUUUCCUGCAGAACUUUACAUUUCUACUUCUGAAUAGACUUCAGACACCAGACUGUUGUAAUUCCAUUGUCCGUCUUUUUCACAGACUGGGAGUGUGCUGCUCUUGGAAGAAAACAUGUGAGCAUAAAAAACUGGUGCUGGGGGCCUCAGUGCAGCAGCCCAGCGGCCCCAAGAUAUCCCUGCUCCCUCCCCUGCUGCCGCAUGCUCACCCCCAGGCAGGUAAGGGCACGUCCUGUCAUCACUCUGGCCGGGAAAGCUCGCACUCCAUAAACUCACGUCACUUCCAACAGCGCACACUUCAGUUUGCUUAAUAUUCUCCUAGCGGGGGGUGUGUGUGGGGGAGGUGGGGUAUUCUGAACCCAAUCCAGUACCUUACAGCUCUCAUUUAUAAGGACAGGCAUGAGUGGCUGCAGUGCCUGCAUCUGGCCAAAGGCACGGCAGGCUGUGGCCCCCUGGGGGAUUUUAAAAUCCCGUGAUGAAGCCCUAAGCUCCGGCUCUAACAGGUGCCGCUUGGAGGUCCAGUCAGGCCGGUUAUUUCAGCCCCACGUGUGUAUGGAUCUGUUUGGAACCUUCAUUAGCUGAGACCCAAAUUACCUUAAGCAGCCCACGGCCUAUUAAGUGUUGGACUAAUCAAAGAUGUUUGUUCAAUUGAAGCUGAUUUCCUAUCUGUAGUAGCUGCUGUCCAAAUUGCUCCCAGUAAAAUUCUGUGUUAUGUUUGUGUAGCAGAUCCUCCAAUCAUAAGUGGAAAUGUAUAGUUUUGGAAGUUGAGAGAUAUGCAGACAGUGGGGUGCAACAUGGUGGGGUGAGUCUGCUAUUCAAGAACUUGACUGGGCCGCACAGAGCCCUGACCUCAACCCCAUCUAACACCAUUGGGGAGAACUAGAACAGAUAUUGUGAGCCAGACCUUCAUGUCCAACAUCAGUGCCCAACCUCACAA